AUUGAACGCUGGCGGCAGGCCUAACACAUGCAAGUCGAACGAGUGGCGGACGGGUGAGUAAUGUCUGGGAAACUGCCCGAUGGAGGGGGAUAACUACUGGAAACGGUAGCUAAUACCGCGUACCAUCGGAUGUGCCCAGAGGGGAUUAGCUUGUAGGUGAGUUAACGGCUCACCUAGGCGACGAGCACUACAUGGUCUGAGAGGAUGACCAGCGACACGGAAACUGAUACACGGUGCAGACUCAGACGGUGGGCAGAAGUGGGGAAUAUUGCACAAGUGGCGAAAGCCUGAUGUAGCCAUGCCGCGUGUAUGAAAAAGGCCUUCGGGUUGUAAAGUACUUUCAGCGGGGAGGAGUUACCAGCAGAAGAAGAACCGGCUAACUCCGUGCCAGCCGCCGCGGUAAUUC
rnacentral:rRNA from 1 species